GGAUAACCUACCUAUAAGACUGGGUUAACUUCGGGAAACCGGAGCUAAUACCGGAUAAUAUAUUGAACCGCAUGGUUCAAUAGUGAAAGACGGUUUUGCUGUCACUUAUAGAUGGAUCCGCGCCGCAUUAGCUAGUUGGUAAGGUAACGGCUUACCAAGGCAACGAUGCGUAGCCGACCUGAGAGGGUGAUCGGCCACACUGGAACUGAGACACGGUCCAG
rnacentral:rRNA from 1 species